UCUUGCCUACGGGACGCAGCAGUGGGGAAUAUUGCACAAUGGGGGAAACCCUGAUGCAGCGACGCCGCGUGAGUGAAGAAGUAAUUCGUUAUGUAAAGCUCUAUCAGCAGGGAAGAAAAUGACGGUACCUGAGUAAGAAGCCCCGGCUGACUACGUGCCAGCAGCCGCGGUAAUACGUAGGGGGCAAGCGUUAUCCGGAUUUACUGGGUGUAAAGGGAGCGUAGACGGCAGUGCAAGUCUGGAGUGAAAGCCCGGGGCUCAACUCCGGGACUGCUUUUGAAACUGUUGAACUAGAUUGCAGGAGG
rnacentral:rRNA from 1 species